UACGAAGGGUGCAAGCGUUACUCGGAAUUACUGGGCGUAAAGCGUGCGCAGGCGGCUUUGCAAGACAGAUGUGAAAUCCCCGGGCUCAACCUGGGAACUGCAUUUGUGACUGCAAGGCUAGAGUACGGUAGAGGGGGAUGGAAUUCCGCGUGUAGCAGUGAAAUGCGUAGAUAUGCGGAGGAACACCGAUGGCGAAGGCAAUCCCCUGGACCUGUACUGACGCUCAUGCACGAAAGCGUGGGGAGCAAACAGG
rnacentral:rRNA from 1 species